UGUGAUUUGUUAUUUGAGAACGUGCGACGUAUAGAACAACGAAAUGACACCGUCUGUCUGUACAGGUCGAAUUCUAGGGGUCUCCGUUUGCCGAAAGACUCUAACAAGAAGAAUGGCGGCAAGGCACGUAGCCGUGAUCUAAAGAAGGGGGCCGGAUCCAAGGAUGGAGGAGACGAGAUGGAUGCAUUCCGAGUCAAAGAUAGCGAAGCGAGAGUAUCUUCUCCUGCACCUGUCGAGAAACCCAGUGCAGAGGAUGUCGUCAAGAAGGAGCCAGAGCCGGCUUUGCAGGGGCCUGUUCUUGCACACAAGCCCCUCUCUGGACGCCAGAGCAUAGAACAGAA